rnacentral:rRNA from 1 species
GACGAACGCGGGCGGCGUGCCUAAUACAUGCAAGUCGAGCGAGCUUGCCUAGAUGAAUUUGGUGCUUGCACCAAAUGAAACUAGAUACAAGCGAGCGGCGGACGGGUGAGUAACACGUGGGUAACCUGCCCAAGAGACUGGGAUAACACCUGGAAACAGAUGCUAAUACCGGAUAACAACACUAGACGCAUGUCUAGAGUUUAAAAGAUGGUUCUGCUAUCACUCUUGGAUGGACCUGCGGUGCAUUAGCUAGUUGGUAAGGUAACGGCUUACCAAGGCAAUGAUGCAUAGCCGAGUUGAGAGACUGAUCGGCCACAUUGGGACUGAGACAUGGCCCAAACUCCUACGGGAGGCAGCAGUAGGGAAUCUUCCACAAUGGACGCAAGUCUGGUGGAGCAACGCCGCGUGAGUGAAGAAGGGUUUCGGCUCGUAAAGCUCUGUUGGUAGUGAAGAAAGAUAGAGGUAGUAACUGGCCUUUAUUUGACGGUAAUUACUUAGAAAGUCACGGCUAACUACGUGCCAGCAGCCGCGGUAAUACGUAGGUGGCAAGCGUUGUCCGGAUUUAUUGGGCGUAAAGCGAGUGCAGGCGGUUCAAUAAGUCUGAUGUGAAAGCCUUCGGCUCAACCGGAGAAUUGCAUCAGAAACUGUUGAACUUGAGUGCAGAAGAGGAGAGUGGAACUCCAUGUGUAGCGGUGGAAUGCGUAGAUAUAUGGAAGAACACCAGUGGCGAAGGCGGCUCUCUGGUCUGCAACUGACGCUGAGGCUCGAAAGCAUGGGUAGCGAACAGG